rnacentral:tRNA from 1 species
GUUUCCGUAGUGUAGUGGUUAUCACGUGUGCUUCACACGCACAAGGUCCCCGGUUCGAUCCCGGGC